GAUGAACGCUCGCGAUAGGCUUAACACAUGCAAGUCGAGGGGCAGCAUGGUCUUAGCUUGCUAAGGCUGAUGGCGACCGGCGCACGGGUGCGUAACGCGUAUGCAACUUGCCUCACAGAGGGGGAUAACCCGUCGAAACACGUACUAAUACCGCGUACACUCUAUGUUGGGCAUCCAAUGUAGAGGAAAUGAAAUUCGCUGUGAGAUAGGCAUGCGUAGCAUUAGCUAGUUGGUGAGGUAACGGCUCACCAAGGCGACGAUGGGUAGGGGAACGGAGAGGUGCCACCCCCGCACUGGUACUGGGACACGGCCCAGACGCCUAGGAGAGGCAGCAGUGAGGAAUAUAGGGCAAUGAGUGAGAGCCUGAACCAGCCAAGUAGUGUGAAGGAUGACUGUCUUAUGGAUUGUAGACUUCUUUUAUGCGGGAGUAACAAGAGUCACGUGUGACUCCCUGCAUGUACCGUAUGAAUAAGCAUCGGCUAACUCCGUG
rnacentral:rRNA from 1 species